CACUGCCCUAAUUCCAGUAGCCUGGAUACAAUAUAAGGGACGCAGAGAGGUUUGCCUUGUCCCUUGUUGCUUUGUUACCUUUUGACUGCCAUGAACUGUUUUUCCUCUGUGAUGCCCUCUGCUAUGCCACCCUACCUUGGAGCCAGGAUCUGAUGCACCUCUGGUUUUGUUCCAAGUGGAAGAGAGCUGAAUGGCUCACGGCCUGUGCCAGAGAGCUCUGUGAUCACUCUUCUCUGCAGGCCCGGACCUCAUAGACUGAACUAUGAACAGCCACUCAACUGGAAAACCUAAAUGCAAUGGGAGGAAUUGGACACCAGGCAGGGGCCAACUGGUGACACUUGACCACCAAAGACAAGGUAAGAGGUGAAGGCACCUGAGAUCAGGGAGGCAGAGGUGCUGGGACUGGAGACAGCGCAGGGCAGAGGAGAUCUGUGAGGAGCGCGUGGACAGAGGGGAACCAGGAAUUUCUGGGUGAAGUCAAAGCCCAGCGAAAGUGGAGACCACGAAUCCAUGGUGGGACCAGUCACAUCAAUCUGCCCAGUAGGAUUUUCCUUCAGAGGUACUUGAGAGCCCUUGAGAUAUGCAAGCUCCCUCAAGAGCGAGUGAUCCAAGACAGAGCAAAUCCUGCAUCAUCAGGCUCACCGCACCAGAAGCUGGUCACUGAGGCUUCAUCUUUUUUGAGAGGAGAGCAUCAGAUGGUUUGUAAACAUAUUUUAUUCUUUCUUUUUUUUUUCUUUCUGGUAAUGGGGGUGGAACUCAGGACUUUGUGUUUGCCAGGCAGGUGCAGUGCCACUGAGCUAAAUCCCCAGCCCUUGAAAACAUAUUUUAAAGCCAACACACACAUACAGAAAUGACGAAAAAAGUUUAGCAUGGCUAGAAUUAGAGUGAAAGGAGGUGAGGGUGACUGAAGAGAAGCUGGUGAGUGAUAACUCUGGGAAAAUUAGCAGGAGCUAGAUCACUUAUUGACCUGUUAAUUUUAGUAAUUUGGUUUCUAUUUAAGGGCAAAGAGAUUUUUUUUUUCUUUUUUCUUUUUUUGGUCUGUUGAGAC
rnacentral:lncRNA from 1 species